CCCGGCUGGUAAUCAACUCCUGUGUGGAUUUAAUAUCUGUCUCUGGUUGGUUCUUUCUCACUGGGUGCAACAUUCUUGGAGGCCCCAGCAAGAUAGCCAGCUGCUCUGGAGCUUAUUAUCUUGGAGCCAUUGUUUCUUUUUAGGAGAGACCAGGAUCCAACAUCAGCAGUGUUUGGCCUCUCUGGACACUGGUCUGUGGAAGGAGAGGCCACCCUGAUGGUAUUCCAGGGCUCCAGGUAGGCUGGUCCCAGUUGGGCCCUAUUGCUGAUCAACCAACCUGCAGGAGUUUAUUGGGAAAGCCUCUAGAGGUAAGAAUCAAAUGAUUCUUAAUGCACUGUGGGUAGGUAGGAGGAAGCCGGACAUGGCACAGGUUCCCCUACCUAGAGUCUCUUCACAAAGGCAAGCAGACUCAACUGGGUCAGAGUCCUCAGAAGAGCAACUCCCUCGGUGGGGUCCAAAUCCAUUCAGCCCCAGAGGUUUUACUUGGCCAAAGUUUGUCUUUGUCUGUUUAUUGUUGUCUGUCUGCUUGCUCUGUGUGCCUUUUGCAUUUUCACAGGCUAAAAUUAUGGUUUCCUCACAGUCCAUGGAGGGAACUCCACUUGAUUGUGUUUUGAAUAACUUCAAAAAAAUUUAUUCCAUAGACAGGGAAGAUGAAUAUGGCAUGAAAUUUUCUAAAGGCAAAUUAAAAACCCUGUGUCAAUUAAAAUGGCCCAGUUUUGGAGUCAGUUGGCCCCCGGUGGGGACUUAAUUCUGUGCACAUUGCUCACAAGGUUUGGAAUGUGGUCACGGGAGUCAGGGCCCCACAGGUCCUGAUCGACCUUUGGCACUCAAUCAGGACAGGACUAUGGUCCAUCAGCCCCAUCUUCCUCCUCCCUUUUUCCUUUAAAACAGAGCCCAGGGGAGGAUUGAUUUAUGUCCCUUUUACAACUAGUGAUCUUUACAAUUGGAAACAUCAAAAUCCCCCCCCUUCUCUGAAAAACCUCAGGCAUUAAUCCCUUCUUGAGUCUGUUUUUCAUACCCAUCAACCAACCUGGGAUGAUUGCCAGCAGCUUUUACAGAUCCUGUUCACCAUUGAGGAGCGAGACCGCAUUUAUCAACAGACAGUCAAAGAGGCCCUGGGGCCAAACCUCGGCAUCACUCCCAGAACUCCAGAGCAUUCAGCCAAGGCUGAAACAGUAGUUCUGUCAUGAUACCUCGAAUGGGACCCCAAUGAUGAUGACAGUAAAGGGAGGCUGGGGAACUACUGCCAGCACUUAUUAGGGGGACUCCAGGAAGUGGCCAGAAAGUCCACUAAUUUCAGUAAGGUAAGUGAGGUUCACCAGGGAAAAACAGAGUCUCCAGCUGCAUUUUUAGAGAGACUCUUGAAAGUCUAUUGACCCAGAGGCUCCCAAAAAUGCAGCAGCUUUAAAUUUGGUCUUUGUUUCCCAGUCAGCCCCAGAUAUUAGAAAAAAAAAUUACAGAAAUUGGAGGGAUUUGAGGGAAAGAAUAGGACUAAACUCCUGAACAUAGCCCAGAAAGUUUAUGAUAACUAUGACGGCCCUGAGGAAAUCCUAGCCAAAAAACUGGAGAAAGUCAUUAUUGCUGCACUCUAGGCACAAGAGACAGUCCCUCUGGACAGAAAAGGAGAAAGCGCCUUUUUGGCUUUAAAAAAAGCCUUAGUGUCAGCACCAGCCCUGGCUGUACCUGAUGUCACCAAGCCCUUUUGGUUGUUUGUGGCUGAACAAGGGGACAUACCAAAAGGAGUGCUAGCUCAGGCAUUAGGGCCUUGAAACAGACCUGUGGCCUACCUGUCUAGAAGACUUGAUCCUGUGGCAACUGGGUGGUCUACCUGUUUGAGGGCAGUUGCAGCAACCACCCUCCUGGUCCAGGAGGCAGAUAAGCUCAGCCUGGAACAGGACAUGGUCAUCACCACACCCCAUGCGGUGGAGACAUUGCUGAGAGGAUCCCCAGAAUGAUGGCUCUCCAACGCCUGCCUGACUGAGUACCAGGCCCUGUUGCUGGAUGCUCCACAUGUCAAAUUCACCUGAGAAAUGACCCUCAAUCCAGCCACCAUACUCCUGGACUCCGACUCAUACGCAUGCCUCUCCAUGACUGUCUGGACACUCUGACAACUUCCACCACCAACCACCCAGACCUGACUGAUGUUCCCCUGCAAAGCCCAGAUGAGACCUUCUUCACCAAUGGGAACAGCUUCGUGGAAGACAGAGUCAGUCUCUUCAAGCCAUACAGAUUCUUCAGAGUGAGAUCCAGGCUACAAUACAACAGGCUCGAGAAAAACCCUUUGCGAAGUUCCAGCCCCACAGUUUCAAGCCAGGAGACCUGGUCCUGAUAUGCUUGGUUUGCUUGCACUGAGGACUUGACUAAAUACAUUCCCAAAUCAGUCUUGGCUACCCAAUCUGCCACUUUAUUUUGUGUCACCAUAUAUGUUGUUCCACAAGUGUUGUAUUGUAAUAAAAAAGGUGGCCAUGAACAUCUGGGAUUAACCACAGAACACUAUAGGAGUAAACAGGCUGCCCCCAUUUUAGUGCCCAUUCUGGUGGGAUUAGGAAUAGCCAGGUCAGCGGCUAUUGGAACUUCCUCCCUGAUCCUUCAGGACACAAAUUUUAAAGCCCUAAGCCACCAAGUAGCCAGAGAUUUGGGUCACCUGAAAAACUCGAUCUUCAGAUUAAAAAAAAACAGGUUGAUUCUCUAGCUGAGAUGGUCCUGCAAAAUCUAAGGGGACUUGACCUCCUGUUCAUAAAACAAGGAGGGUUAUAUGUAGCCCUAGAAAAAAACCCUGUUGCUUCUAUGCUAAUGGUUAACUACCCUAGUUUCUGCUGUAACAGGCCCCCUAGUUAUCUUACUUCUGCUUUUGCUCAUGAGACCUUGCAUUAUAAAUGCUCUGACUAAAUAUGUUAGACAGAGGGUUGGUGCAGUUAAACUGAUGGUGUUGAGACAAAAUUAUGAGAUUUUAAAAGACGUUUUAAAAAAAAUUCAGAGUAAAUAUAGGAAUCAAAGAUUUGAUUAAGUUACAAGAACCAGUGGGGAAUGAAGGACCUUAGUUAGCAAGACAGACUCCAUAUUGCUGCUUGACCCACCUGCCUGCCCUUUAGAUGAACUCAGAAGGAGGAAGCUUAAAAACCUCCUCCCCUUGGAAAGUCUCUUUAGAAAUAACAAUUAAUCAACUAUUGUUUUACAAAUGUUCGAACAGCAGGAUGUUCUGCUACUGUACCUUUUGCUUACCUUUUACUUCUAUCCCAUAGGGGGGCCUAGAAACUGUUGGC
ensembl:lncRNA